UACGAAGGGGGCUAGCGUUGCUCGGAAUACUGGGCGUAAAGCGUGCGCAGGCGGUGAUGUAAGACAGAUGUGAAAUCCCCCGGGCUCAACCUGGGAACUGCAUUUGUGACUGCAUCGCUGGAGUGCGGCAGAGGGGGAUGGAAUUCCGCGUGUAGCAGUGAAAUGCGUAGAUAUGCGGAGGAACACCGAUGGCGAAGGCAAUCCCCUGGGCCUGCACUGACGCUCAUGCACGAAAGCGUGGGGAGCAAACAGG
rnacentral:rRNA from 1 species